AGUAAGGCCAUAUCCUUCUUUGGAAUUAUGCAACGAAUUUAUGUUUUAUUUUCAUGUUCCACUAAAAGAUGGAAAGUUUUACUUGAUCAUAUUCCAAGUUUAACCAUGAAAGGUUUGUAUAAUACUCGGUGGGAGAGUCGAAUCAAAAGUGUUAAAGCUAUCAGAUAUCAAGCUCCACAAUUAAGGCUAGUUGUGUCCAAGUUAUGUAAAAUUUGUGAUGAUGCCAAGUCAAAGAGUGAUGCAAAAAAUUUACUUGAUGCACGGUAG
rnacentral:rRNA from 1 species